AUUGAACGCUGGCGGCAGGCUUAACACAUGCAAGUCGAGCGAGCGGCGGACGGGUGAGUAAUGUCUGGGAAACUGCCUGAUGGAGGGGGAUAACUACUGGAAACGGUAGCUAAUACCGCAUACCAUCAGAUGAACCCAUAUGGGAUUAGCUGGUAGGAAGGGUAACGGUGUACCUAGGCGACGAUCCCUAGCUGGUCUGAGAGGAUGAUCAGCAACACGGGGACUGAGACACGGCCCAGACUCCUACGGGAGGCAGCAGUGGGGAAUAUUGCAAAAUGUGCGCAAGCCUGAUGCAGCCAUGCCGCGUGUAUGAAGAAGGCCUUCGGGUUGUAAAGUACUUUCAGUCGGGAGGCGUUACCGACAGAAGAAGCACCGGCUAACUCCGUGCCAGCCGCCGCGGUAAUAC
rnacentral:rRNA from 1 species